rnacentral:rRNA from 1 species
UACGUAGGGUGCGAGCGUUUAAUCGGAAUUACUGGGCGUAAAGCGUGCGCAGGCGGUGGCUCAAGCCAGGCGUGAAAUCCCCGGGCUUAACCUGGGAAUGGCGUUUGGGACUGGUCGCUAGAGUGUGGCAGAGGGAGGUGGAAUUCCACGUGUAGCAGUGAAAUGCGUAGAGAUGUGGAGGAACACCGAUGGCGAAGGCAGCCUCCUGGGCCAGCACUGACGCUCAUGCACGAAAGCGUGGGGAGCAAACAGG